rnacentral:rRNA from 1 species
CUACGGGAGGCUGCAGUGAGGAAUAUUGCACAAUGGAGGAAACUCUGAUGCAGCAACGCCGCGUGGAGGAUGACGCAUUUCGGUGUGUAAACUCCUUUUAUAUGUCAAGAAAAUGACGGUAGCAUAUGAAUAAGCACCGGCUAACUCCGUGCCAGCAGCCGCGGUAAUACGGAGGGUGCAAGCGUUACUCGGAAUCACUGGGCGUAAAGGACGCGUAGGCGGGAUAUCAAGUCAGGUGUGAAAUCCUACAGCUUAACUGUAGAACUGCACUUGAAACUGGUAACCCAGAGUAUGGGAGGGGGAGAUGGAAUUAGUGGUGUAGGGGUAACAUCCGUAGAUAUCACUAGGAAUACCUAAAGCGAAGGCGAUCUCCUGGAACAUAACUGACGCUAAGGCGUGAAAGCGUGGGGAGCAAACAGGAUUAGAUACCCGCGUAGUC